rnacentral:rRNA from 1 species
AACGAACGCUGGCGGCAGGCAUAAUACAUGCAAGUCGAACGCACCGCAAGGUGAGUGGCAGCCGGGUGAGUAACGCGCGGGAAUCUUCCUUGCAGUACGGAAUAACUUCGGGAAAACGGUGCUAAUACCGAAUACGUCAUUCGGGAGAAAGAUUUAUCGCUGCCAGAUGGAGCCCGCGCCGGAUUAGCUAGUGGGGGGGGUAAAGGCCUACCAAGGCUACGAUCCGUAGCUUGGCUGAGAGGAUGAUCAGCCACACUGCGACGGAGACACGUCCCAGACUCCUACGGGAGGCAGCAGUAUGGAAGAUUGGACAAUGGGCGCGAGCCGGAACCAGCCAUGCCGCGUGAGUGAAGAAGGCCUUAGGGUGGUAAAGCUCUUUUGGCGGGGAAGAUAAGGACGGUACCCGCAGAAUAAGCGCCGGCUAACUUCGUGCCAGCCGCCGCGGUAA